rnacentral:sRNA from 1 species
UUAAAUAAAAUAAAAAUAAGUGUUAAAAAGUUAAAUUAGGUAUAAACCAUAUUGAACCGAUGACGCCUCUUAGGGGUUUGGACGUUGUGUCCAAUUAGUUAACAC